UAAGAAGAAAUGACCAUUCUUAUUAUCAAUUUCAGGUUUCAGGGAAGAUUACAUUGAAUUGAAUUCCAGAAAUCAGCUACGUUCCUAUCAAUGUAAAACAUUGAAAUGCAAUAAUAUAAAUUAUAAAUAAAAUAUAUUGCUACGAAAGGAAAAAUCUAAUAUCAACACCGUUCACCCCUCUUUCUUUAUACAUCUAAACUAUCUAUAAAUUAAAAAAAAAAAAAGAAAAAAAAAUCAUGGCAUUGUAGUAUGUGGGCCCAGACAAGCUUUUUCUGUGACUCUGUAGGUGCGGGUGACGGUUUGGUGCUUUGGUUGCUUGACUCAAGUUGAAGUGGGAAUUUCUGAUUGGCUGAGAAUAUUGACAAGAACAGAAAAAGUGCUGAUUCGGUUAGAUCGCCUGGAGCUCAUGUUAAUAUUUAAUGAUUCCUGUAGCAAAAUUCUUAUCUGUAAGUUGUAGAACAAUUUAUUUGAUUAAUUACAGGCAAAGUGCGGUUAGGAGGUCUUAAACAGCGUGAUUGAUUGUGAUGGAGAUUGGAAUGGACCUUGGGGGGUGAACAAGAUCACUCGGGAUUCAAUUUUUUGUUAUAUUCGGAAAAUGAUUGCACGACUUUUGAAAGUGGUGGCGCAAGAGCCAUCGGGGUAGUUUUUGACAGCUUUACUUUGCAAUUCUUUAUCUAAAAAAAAAAAUAUUUGCAAUUGUGAUUAGCAAAUUGGUCCCUAAAACCUAAUAAAAUGUGGAAUGAUGUACGCGAA
rnacentral:misc_RNA from 1 species